rnacentral:rRNA from 1 species
UACAGAGGGGGCAAGCGUUAUUCGGAAUUAUUGGGCGUAAAGGGCGCGUAGGCGGCCUGGCAAGUGGAAGGUGAAAUCCCCGGGCUCAACCUGGGAACUGCAUUUGUGACUGCAUCGCUGGAGUGCGGCAGAGGGGGAUGGAAUUCCGCGUGUAGCAGUGAAAUGCGUAGAUAUGCGGAGGAACACCGAUGGCGAAGGCAAUCCCCUGGGCCUGCACUGACGCUCAUGCACGAAAGCGUGGGGAGCAAACAGG